UCCCCUCCUCCGGCCGCUUCCGUCGUGGCUACGACAAGGUGAUCCCCGCCGUCGGCUACGAACAAGCCCGCGAGUGGGAUCUCUCCGGUGAUGUUUGGAGGCCAGAUGAGCGAGGAGGCGGCGGAAAAAGUGAUCAAAACCUGGUGAAAUUUUAAAAUUUGGGGGUUUGUUGUGGGUUUUGAUGCUUUUGUUAUUGGAUCCGUUUGCUUUAUUUAUGUCUUGAUCUGAACAAGUUAUUUAGGAGAGAGAUAGUUUUAUCUAACGUGAAUUAGCUGUAGAUUGAAAAUUUGCGGUGUUCUUAUUUUAUUGAUUUAGUGUAUUUAGCGUCUAAAUUUGUGAUCAGCACAUAUAAACUCAGAGUAAUCACUGUUUUCAUUUA